GACCUAGUCGGAGGAUAAGCACGCAUGAAUGGACAGCACAGACACUGAAAUGCACUCCACUGAAAGGUGACUUCCACUGUUUUCACCUCUCCAAAACUUUUGGGUUAGGACCGUAACCACAAGAGGACUUGAAAAUGAGCCGGAGGUGAGAGGACCACCAAUACUAAAGGCCACUGUAAUUGAUGGGGGCUCAGGGCGGUACCAUUCUGCUCAUCUGAUGAAGGUGCACAUGGAUCAGAUUCAAACUUUGAAGACCGAGAUCGCGUCAUUGAAGGCAGACCAGCAGAAAGAGAAACAUUUAUCUGAGGGCAGUGAUACGGACAACAUUGGUCCAGAGCCACGCGCCAUUGGCAGAGUCAGGUGAAGAAUGAUGCGUUGAAGAGGACAAGGAACAAAAUGGAGUCACAGGGACACCUGUGAGCUCUGGAACUCCACCUCGCACAGGCAGAGUCAACAUACCUGGCGGGUUCGUCAGGUUGUCAGUUCACCCUGACAUUUCCAUUCCUCUUCUGACAACCUGACCAAGGCAAAUGUGGCUUCCCUGUGAACCUCUGGGUGUUCAUCAUUGAUACUGUGUCUCAGAAGUUUCUGUCUAUGACUGAUGCAUCCCAGAAAAGCAUUAAAGAUGGAUUUAAUGAGUACUUGUGGUCACUGAGAAAGUCUGUACAUGGCCUGCUCUCCCUUAUGUCAGGAUUUAGGAAACAUUCCCAUGUUUACUACAGUAUGUACCUUUAGGCUAUGUUUACUUGUCAGACUACACAGUAGCCUAAAAUACAAGUGCAGGUGUCUUUUAUCUUCAAAAUGCUUUAUUAUCCAAAUGUAAAGACAUAUACUGUACAGUACUGUAUUUCUUC